AGUGAACGCUGGCGGUAGGCCUAACACAUGCAAGUCGAACGGCAGCACAGGAGAGCUUGCUCUCUGGGUGGCGAGUGGCGGACGGGUGAGGAAUACAUCGGAAUCUACUCUGUCGUGGGGGAUAACGUAGGGAAACUUACGCUAAUACCGCAUACGACCUACGGGUGAAAGCAGGGGACCUUCGGGCCUUGUGCGAUCGAAUGAGCCGAUGUCGGAUUAGCUAGUUGGCGGGGCAAAGGCCCACCAAGGCGACGAUCCGUAGCUGGUCUGAGAGGAUGAUCAGCCACACUGGAACUGAGACACGGUCCAGACUCCUACGGGAGGCAGCAGUGGGGAAUAUUGGACAAUGGGCGCAAGCCUGAUCCAGCCAUACCGCGUGGGUGAAGAAGGCCUUCGGGUUGUAAAGCCCUUUUGUUGGGAAGGAAAUCCAGCUGGCUAAUACCCGGUUGGGAUGACGGUACCCAAAGAAUAAGCACCGGCUAACUUCGUGCCAGCCGCCGCCGUAA
rnacentral:rRNA from 1 species